rnacentral:rRNA from 1 species
GACGAACGCUGGCGGCGUGCUUAACACAUGCAAGUCGAACGGUGAGGCGCCUUCUUUUUUGGUGGGUGUGGAUGAGUGGCGAACGGGUGAGUAACACGUGAGUAACCUGCCCCCUUCUUCUGGAUAACCGCAUGAAAGUGUGGCUAAUACGGGAUAUUCUGGGUCUGUCGCAUGAUGGGUCUGGGAAAGAUAUUGUUUCGGUGGGGGAUGGGCUCGCGGCCUAUCAGCUUGUUGGUGGGGUGAUGGCCUACCAAGGCGGUGACGGGUAGCCGGCCUGAGAGGGUGGACGGUCACACUGGGACUGAGACACGGCCCAGACUCCUACGGGAGGCAGCAGUGGGGAAUAUUGCACAAUGGGCGCAAGCCUGAUGCAGCGACGCCGCGUGAGGGAUGGAGGCCUUCGGGUUGUGAACCUCUUUCGCCAGUGAAGCAGGCCUGCCUCGUUUGUGGGUGGGUUGACGGUAGCUGGAUAAGAAGCGCCGGCUAACUACGUG